rnacentral:tRNA from 1 species
AAGGAUUUAAGUUAAAUAAACUAGUAACCUUCAAAGUUUCAAAUAAAAAAAUCAUUUUAAGCCUUA